UACGAAGGGGGCUAGCGUUGCUCGGAAUCACUGGGCGUAAAGGGUGCGUAGGCGGGUCUUUAAGUCAGAGGUGAAAUCCUGGAGCUCAACUCCAGAACUGCCUUUGAUACUGAGGAUCUUGAGUACGGGAGAGGUGAGUGGAACUGCGAGUGUAGAGGUGAAAUUCGUAGAUAUUCGCAAGAACACCAGUGGCGAAGGCGGCUCACUGGCCCGUUACUAACGCUGAGGCACGAAAGCGUGGGGAGCAAACAGG
rnacentral:rRNA from 1 species